AGCAGCCGCGGUAAUUCCAGCUCCAAUAGCGUAUAUUAAAGUUGUUGCAGUUAAAAAGCUCGUAGUUGAAUUUCGAGAUCAAAUUGUUGGUCGUGCCUCGGUACGUACUGGCAUUAUUGAUCUCUCCUUUCUGAAGAACCAUGAUGUCAUUAAUUUGGUGUCUUGGGGAAUCAGGACUGUUACUUUGAAAAAAUUAGAGUGUUUAAAGCAGGCUCACGCUUGAAUACAUUAGCAUGGAAUAAUGAAAUAGGACGUUUGAUUCUAUUUUGUUGGUUUCUAGGAUCGACGUGAUGAUUAAUAGGGAUAGUUGGGGGCAUUAGUAUUCAAUUGUCAGAGGUGAAAUUCUUGGAUUUAUUGAAGACUAACUACUGCGAAAGCAUUUGCCAAGGAUGUUUUCAUUAAUCAAGAACGAAAGUUAGGGGAUCGAAGACGAUCAGAUACCGUCGUAGU
rnacentral:rRNA from 1 species